rnacentral:rRNA from 1 species
UACGUAGGUGGCAAGCGUUAUCCGGAAUUAUUGGGCGUAAAGAGCGCGCAGGUGGUUGAUUAAGUCUGAUGUGAAAGCCCACGGCUUAACCGUGGAGGGUCAUUGGAAACUGGUCGACUUGAGUGCGGAAGAGGGAAGUGGAAUUCCAUGUGUAGCGGUGAAAUGCGUAGAGAUGUGGAGGAACACCAGUGGCGAAGGCGGCUUCCUGGUCUGUAACUGACACUGAGGCGCGAAAGCGUGGGGAGCAAACAGGAUUAGAUACCCU